rnacentral:siRNA from 1 species
UAAUAUGGUGAAUGGUUAGAU